rnacentral:rRNA from 1 species
UACGUAGGGUGCGAGCGUUGCCCGGAUUUAUUGGGCGUAAAGGGCGCGUAGGCGGCCACGCACGUCCGUUGUGAAAUCGCCCGGCUCAACUGGGCGGGGUCAGCGGAUACGGUGUGGCUCGAGCAAGCUAGGGGGCAAUGGAAUUCCCGGUGUAGUGGUGGAAUGCGUAGAUAUCGGGAGGAACACCAGUGGCGAGGGCGGUUGCCUGGAGCUUUGCUGACGCUGAGGCGCGAAAGCGUGGGGAGCGAGUCCGG